rnacentral:lncRNA from 1 species
ACUGUGCCAAUGAUCGCUGUGGUAGACCUAAGACGGGUCGUAAUCCAAUCUGACUGGUGUCCUUCUAAGAGGAGAUUAAGACACAGACACGCACAGAGGGAAGACCACGUGAAGAUGGGGGAAGACAGCUGUCUGCAAGUCAAAGAGAGAGGCCUCAGAGGAAACCAGCCCUGCCGACACCUUGGUCUUGGACUUCUAGCUCCUGGAUUGUGAGAAAGGACAUUUCUGUUGUUAAAGUGCCCUAGUCUAGGAUGCUUGGUGCUGACAGCCCUGGAUAACUAACACUAAAGGGUCUUGGGGGUUCCAGGAUCCAUGGACACUGCUCAGCCUUGUUUGACUAUGUUUUUGUCAUUAGAAGCAGCGCUGUCUGCGGGAAGGUGCCUUUCCUGCCCAGACUACUGAAGGAGACUGCCAGUACAAGAGGCUUUCACUCCCCUUGAAGGUGAAACCUUUGACCCUGCUGUCUUCCCUCCCUUGAUGAUCUCAUUCCAUCCCACACCCACUGAGAACCCCGAAAUAUUUUACCCCAGCCCAGCCCUCUCCCCCAGCCUCAGAGCAAACAUCCCACUGCUUGCUUCACAGGCCUUCCUGCGUGCCUACAAGUCCCUCCCACCCAGGGUGGCCAAAACCCCAAUCCCGAGCACCCUGCAAACCUCCUCCCUUUAGCAGCUGUCACCGUUUCAGAAAUGGCACAUUUCAUUGCUUGGGCCAAAUACCUGGAAGUUCUCCCACACUCCUCUCUUUCCACCACAACCACUCCCAGUUCAUUGGCACCACCAUCCCGUCAGCUCCCCUUCACCACGUGUCC